ACUGUCAGAUUGAUGUAAGAGACAUUUAUUGGGUUUUCCAGAAACUGACAGACUCUCCGGUGAUGAUACUGCGAACUUUUACAUCAGAUUCUACAAUACCUCAUGUACAAGACCAAAGACUGAAAGACAAAUAUUCAUCACUAACUUUGAGCCGUUUAUUUAUUAGUAAUAUAACUGUUCAUGAAUUAGGAAUAUAUUAUUGUGUAAAACGAAACACAACUCUACAGAUCAGCAUUGGCACCAGACUUUACAUCAAUGACAGACAGCAGGAACAAUCAUGUGAGAAAACACUGGAGUUGUACAAGAUUUUGACUGUUACAUCCAUCCUACUGAAUUCUGUGCUGAUUAUUGCAAUACUAGGUCUGUUAAUGAUCAAACUUAAGAAGCCAAGAAAAAGUCGACGACAAGCCCAGAAUGUUGAACCAGAGCAGAUCGAGGACUUAAACACUGCACAGGCAAGACUUAUAUUGCUAUUCAAUUGCCAUUUAAGUUCAUAAUACAAAAUGUUCCCAAAAUUUUCAGGCAACAGCUAAAAUGUCUCAAGUUAUUCUAUUGUUUCUCUACUAAGCUCAUUAGUUGUGAAAUGUAAACAUCUUAAGCAACUGUGAAACACAUACAGCUAGCUAACAUAACUCUACUAGAUGUUCUACAAAAGUUCAAAUGUUUUACAAAAUCAUCCAAAUGUGUUCAUGUGUAUGAUGAAGAGGUUUAUAAAGUGGCUAAUUUCAUUCUUAUUGUUCUCGUAGUAUUCUGAAAUCGAGUUACCCACAAAAUUCCAGAAGAGAGAACCCCAUUCAGAUAAACGACACUUAUGAAC
ensembl:lncRNA